UGUCGAUCUUUUUUUAUAUAACAAAAAGUCGAAAUUAUAUAUAGAUUUUUGACAACACUUGAUGUUUUCGAAUUUCAGAGUAGCCACAGGCGCCAUCUUGGUUGUUGAUACAUCACUGUAUUGCGAUCAAAUUUUUUAUGUUUAUCUUAAUUAUCGCCAAAUUACUAGUCAUUAUUAUGUAGAUGCAAAUUGCUAACAUAUUUAGUUUUUAACCGUGAAAAAGUAUUGUCAAAUUUUACUUUCACGAUUCGAAUAUACGAAAUUUGGCGCCGAAAACCAAACUCGAAAUCCUCGAUUGCACAACAAUUUGGUCUAGUGUAAAUUGGUGUGAUAGGUUUUUUAUUUCAAGAACUCAAGGAAACAUCGAUGACAGAAUUGAAUAGCGGAUUUCCCAAAAAACAAAUUCAAGAUAUAAAUCAACUCAUUCAUCGGAAAUUAACUUUAUAUUUAAGCGGCGCUUUAACACGUACAGGUGGGAAUUGUUAAUCUUGGCUGAUCUAGAAAAAUUAAAUUUGUGGAAAGGGAUGUCGGUUCGAUAUCCUGUAUGACUAAAUUUUUCAUAAUGGCGUAACUAUCACAUCGUUGCACGCCAUACUAUUGCUGUAAAAUUUGAUAUUUUUAGGCAGAGUUGCACUAUGCGGUUCUCGUGUGACAAACAUGGUACAGAUACAUGUUUUAUGAAAAUGGCUAUUCAACAUAUCAUUAAAUACGAUUUUUAUCACGUAUCAGUAUUUAGUAGUAAACCUGAUACUACCUACCUGUUGAAUGGAAACAGAUACACCAAUGUAUGCACCGUACCAUGAAUGAAAGUAACAUUAUCAUUCUUAUUCUUGCAUUAGACUUAUUUGCUCUUUGAUUAAGGUUACUUUUCAAUAGUGAUAAUGAUACCACAGUACCCAUAACUUUUUUGACAUAUGCAAUUGUCGCCAAUAUUCGUGCAAAUACUUAUUGCAUUCUAAGCACAAUGAACUUCAUACAAUUUUUGUCCAUGGCCUUAAUUAAUAGAAAAGUCUUAUAGGGCAACACGAUAAAACUAUUUAUUUUGGUAGCCAAUGCCCUUUACACUGAUAAACAAAAGUGUAAACUUGUUUUUUAAGGGUAAACAAAAAAUAAAUUACGUCUGACGUUCAUAAAUUUCUUGUUCGUUGUAAAUGUUCCUUGAGUCGAAAUUCUGGGAAUAUUUUUCACGGGGUAUAUUUAAAGGUGCACCAUAACAACACCAUAAUUGUUUGUAAGUGUAAAUUAUACUUAUCGUACGACAAUAGAUAAGUACACCUUCUUUAUUGGACAAUAUUGGCUGAUAUCGUAAGAGACAUUGUUUUGAAUCAAAUUUAAUCACUAUUCAAUUUCAAAGUUUAAGACAGCCUAGUUAUGAAUUUAGGGGGUGUAUCUGUUAACAUGUUAAUACAUUUAUGUUCCUGUUUCCCUUUAGGUGUGAGUCUAUUCAAACAGAUAUCUAGAUCGCAAUGACAAGUUCAGUUACAGGUAACAGGAUAAGACAGGGAUACGGAAAAUUGCGUCUUGCGAGUUUUCCCGUAAUCACAGAAUCCAAACACGAUCAUGUAACACAAUACGUCGCGAUUAAUUUUUAAUCACAAUAGUUGAUCAUGCGCUUGAUCCUUUAUCAGCGACACAAUAGAAUGAAGUGAGGAAAACAGGUAGUUAACCUAAAUGGUCACGUAGCCCAAAUAUAUCUGUAAUUUUUUAUGGAGUUUGACAGUUUAUCGACGGCUAUCUAUCACAUAGCUGUCAUUGUAUCUGGAGUUUGAUCAGACAGGUUAGAAUCAAAAAAUAUACAUGCAAGAAACGAUGACAUUUGUUUGAACUUUUAGUCGUUCCGUAUGGUCAAAACAGAGGUCAAGGAUAGGUCAAACGAUGCUCUUAUUGUCAUUCAUGAAAAUCUCACGAUAUUAUCAAUCUCAACAAAUUUAGUGAUGUAUUCCGGAAGUAAAAUCGAGAUAAUAAGUCUAAAACAAAGAAGGCGAUAAAUACUAAUCUGUCUUCUUGGGGCAUCGACUGUUUCAAUAAAAAUUACACAUUUUAAUGUCUUGUAAUUGAUUGAAUUAAUGAAUAAUUACUUUUACACAAUAACUGCGUGAGGUGGUUUAUCGUUUCACAAAAACAAUUACUCUUUGAUAAAUUAUAAUAAUAAUAAUAAUAGUAAUAAGUGUGCGAAAUCUUUAACCUGUCUUUCUCACACACACAAAUUAUGUCGCAUUCAAGAAACUAUAUCGCUUCAUUAUUUAUUAUUCAGUCAGCAACGAAUUAUUCCUUUUAAAUUGUCUGGACGAGUGGACACAUUAUUAGAAUAAACGAGUCCAAGGACCCGGGGCAGUCAACCUCCCAAAAAUAACAAAAUCGUUAUCAGCAAGCAACGAUUAAAAAACAUUUAAAUAACGGAUUCCAAACAACAAAUCAUAAAUCUACAACAUAAAAAAAAUCCAGUUUGGAGUGUGUUUUGCUGAAAGAACAAUAAUGACUCGUUAGAUACAAUCGUAUUGUUUAAUGCUUUCGUUGAUAUUAUCAACUUUAUCUUGGUUGUCUCCAGAGAAAAUAAUGAAUUUUAAAGCCGAGUUUACGAGGAUCACUUUGAGUCGUCAAGUGAAAAUAAUUUACCUUAAGAAUUUUUGUUGCCAUUGUUCGAUUUUUUUCUUUUAAACGUAAAUAACACAAUUUAUUUUUUGGCGCAUUGUCAUUCACAGAAAUGUAAAGCAGACGAAUUCUAAAGCGUAUUGCUUCCAAGUAGAAAAAAUAUCUGUUGCUUAUCUAAAUCAAUAUGAUUAUAAUCGAAAUUUAACCGAAACUCUUAUACAUUGUUAAGACAUACGUUUUAAGAUGAUUCGAUGUACUCAGAUCCCACGCAAUACUUCUUGUAUUAGUCGAAAUAUUGGAAAAAGCUAUAUUUAAUGACUUUUAUUUAGUACUCAUAUCGCAACAGUGUUUAUAUUAGGGACUAAAUUAUAAGUCACAUGAGCAUGACGUAAAUUAAUUAUGAUUAUUUAGAUAAAGUCUGACGUUGAACUAUGUAUAUUUAUUCGGCAAUCUUUUUAAAAAUUGUGUCUGUUAAUUAUCCGACUAGUAAUUGUUACACUUUCUACAUUCCACUUUCCCAGCCUUGCGUAGACAGAAGAGUACAAAAAUACAGGUUUCCCAAACAACUACUUCAAAAUUUUAAGUAAUUCUUAAGACACACAAUCUUUUUUAUUCAUUUCAUACAAUUGUCAAAUAAAUUUCACUUAUAGUUUCAUGAUCUAUCCCUAUUUUAAAUUUUGUAUAGAUGAGUUGUCAAACAAAUAUUUAUCUAGGAUCUACGUACAAAUGCUAAUCCAAUUAUCCAAAAUUGAUUUCAUCAUAUUGCCAGGAAUGUGGGUGACGCUAUCUCGAAAAAUUCUUAAAUAAAUCCUACUAAAACAGCUGAUGGUGUUGUUUUUAAAAAUUGUCACGCUUGAGAGACGAGGGAAGUUCAGUACAAAUAACGUUGCAGAUUAAUCAUGGAUCGAAAGAUACGAUAAGACGAACAUACAUAUUUAUUUGGUGCAGCAUGUCAAUUCGGUCUCAAAUGACGUUUGUUAAUUAUUAGACUAUGUUGCGCUCAUGCGACAUCUAACUAAAUUAAAAACGUAAAACCAUAAAAGUGUAAUUACGACAUGCUUUUAGUCGGAACUUUAUUAUUGCUAAUUAAUAUUUAAUGCAAUUUCUCACUUUGGACAAAUAUGCAAUUACAGGUAAACGCUUCUAGUGUCUGUUUAUAAAUAUAUUCUUAGAUGUAGGUAUACAAGUUCUUGAAUGUAUUGGAAUUUUAGCAGCACUGAGGAAUACACCGCCAUCUAUACAUGACAGGCGCAACUCAUUUUAUUUCGCGUUUUUUGAAACUGAUUCGUAUUCUCUCACAAUUAUUUGUAUAAAAAAAAAUACAAACGAUACAGUAGCAGAAAUAUACCAACUUUAGUCUAAACAAUUUCUUCAAAACAAGAUAUUUGUUAAAAUUGAUAUUUGAAAUUUAUACCUAUAUCAUGAUAAUCACUGUCCGGUUUUUAAAUCAGAACAACUCGAUUGUAUAAUUAUCAGGUAUUAGUUACAGUCAAAAUAAAAGACACAGAUUCGUCUCAUUUCAGACAGUGUCUAUCUUUAAAAUGAUUGUCAUAUCAACUUGGACGUUGUAUCCUUUGUCACGUUGACGAAUCUAAAGUAGAUUUCCUCUCAUAAAUUGACGUGUCAUUAAUCAUGAAAGUUUAAACCUUUAGCACCCUUAAUCGUGGUACAGUAUUAAUUCUUGUGAGAGGUCUAUUACUUUUCCACUACGAGUUUAAAAACUGAGUACUUAUGUUUCUAAAAAUAAAUAAACUCUACACGAUAAAGAUAUUCAUUUAUAAACAUUUCAAUGAACACAAUGGAAAUUUCGUUACAUAGUUAUAUCCUCUAAAAGGUGAAAGUUUUGACAUUUGAACAAAAAAAAAACGCAAGCAAAAAUUUAUGUUAUUUAUAAUUUUCAUUCUAUUAGGUCUAUUUUGUACAUUAUCCUGUGUAAGUAUGAAGAGCUCUGUGUGUAACCACGAUAAAGAUAUUUAACGCGGAUCGUUGGAUUGCCCUACAUUGCGAAUUACACUACGCCGAUCUAGGGGCCCCCGAACACCCACAACCCGCAUUUGCAAAAAGAAAAAUACAAAAAAGCACCAUAUUUUCUGAGUUUCUAGUUAUAUCCGGCGACUUAUUUAUCAAAAGGGUAGAAAUAUUAAUUUUCGCUAGUCCAGAUAUUUUAAGUAGAGUGUACACAUUAUGUAGCCAUUAUUUCGGCGUCUGCAAUAAACAGGUAUUUAAAUUUUAUCAAGUUGUUGGAUAACAUUUAUAGAUAAUAUAUACAAACAAAAUUAAUCCUGCCAGUGUAAGUACCCUGUUUCAAAAAUAUUAAUCGCUAAGUAAUAACGUCAUAAGUAUUUAAAUAUAAAUCCUGUUAUGUUGUAUAUCGAAAAAAUAGUUAAUUAUGUAAAUCGAUUUAUAUAAAUUAUAUUAUUGA